rfam:Desulfosporosinus youngiae DSM 17734 chromosome, whole genome shotgun sequence.
GGGCGAUUAGCUCAGCGGUAGAGCGCAUCCUUCACACGGAUGAGGCCACUGGUUCGAGACCAGUAUCGCCCA